CUGUUUUUAAACAAUCGAGAGUCAGUUCUAGUCAGGUGGUAAGUGCUAGGAUCAGCAAGACUAGUUGUAAGUAGUGUUAUGACAGGAGAUGUUCACUGAAGAGCUGGGUCUUCAGGAGGUUUUGAAGAUGAAAAGGGAUGUCCCUGCUCUAAUCACACCUGUAGCGCAUCGGGUAAUCAGCGCCUUUCUCUUCCCCCUACUGCAAUUUGUUCACAAUUGAACUGCAUGAUUUUAACACAAGCACAGUUGAACUGAUGAUGACCACAACAAAGAAGUAAAAUUGGUGCUCUACCAAUUCCAAUUCCAAUCAUGUCACACAAAUGUGUGGAAGUGGUCACUGAGGUGGAAGUAAAAGAGGAUGAGGAGGAAGAGGAAGAGGAGCGCUGGUGAAAAGGUGCUGCAUGUGCCACAGGAAGGUGGGGCGAUUUUGUCCAGAGAAGGACAAUAAUAUAGAUGACAGAGGAACUGCUUUGGACAAUGAGCAAAGUCGUUUCAACCUUUACAUGUGCGUUCUUCAUUCCUUUUCCUUCAUGUUGAGGAUCUUACUAAAGACUGCAAACUGGCCAGUUUUUUUGUGCUGCUUUUGACAACUUGUGUGUAUGUUGCAUUUGCCAAUUAGUAAAUUACCCUGAAAAAGCUCUGCAGUACCAAUGGCAUUUCAACAUGUGAGCAUCUGUGCAUUGUUGAUAUGGAUGAUAUGAAAUACUAUGCAGUAACUCUUGUUCCUCUUCAAAAUAAAUCUGAAUAUUUUGUAUUUACACUUGAA